rnacentral:tRNA from 1 species
UUAAAGGUAGCUCAACUGGUAGAGCAGCGGUUCGCCGACUGCCUUGGGUUCGAAUCCCAUCUUAAA